AAUUUUUACAGCGAUAUUACAGAUAGAGAACAGGGAAGAGAAGUUGGAGUGAGAGACUAUCUUCUUAAAUUACUUCCACUGUAGAGAACAAAAAACCAAUUUGCUGAAAUCUUUAUUCCCUUCUAUGACCCUGUGGAAGAUCAAGAUUUGGCCACCCUGAAAUCUAUCUCUUUACCUUGGUUGUUUUCUCUGAGGGCAUUUGACCUCCCCCACUAACUGCCUAAAGUAUUUAAAACAAAACAUCUGUUUCAGGAAGGAGUUAUUAUCAUGAUGGCUGUAAAUAUAAUGUACAAUAGAUGUUACAAUAGAAAAGACACCAACAAGCCCAUCUUAUCAGAAGUUCUGUCUCUGACCAUAUUCUUUGGAUGGCCCUGCAAGGAGUUGCCAGACAGACAUUUACAUUUAUAAGGGAAAUCUCCAUUUGUAAAGGUAUCUGCCUCUCUGAAUUGGGAAGAGGGGGAAUGACCUCAUUUCUAGAAACUUAUCAAUGUAAAAGGUGAGGCCUUAAAUCUGCAUAAUAACCUCACUCUUGUUUACUGUGCUUUAGUGGUAAUCUCCUGUAACUGACUCCCCCCACCCCCAACAUCUUCCUUUGUCAUUGGCUGAACAUGAUAUUUAAGAUGAGAAUUCUGCUAUUGUGUUGAGAAACGCAGUGUCUUUGCUUUCUCCCAUGCAUACAUGUUAUUAAACUUGGUAUUAUUUUCUCCUUCUAACCUGUCUUGUUAAUUAUUUGGCCAGCCAUAAGAACCUUAAGGAAAAGGGCAGAGGGAGAUUCUCCCUCUAUCCCGACAACACUAUCUUUACGUGCAAAAUCUCAGCCCUGAAUGAAUGUCACAUUCCUCCUUUUGCAUCCCUGGGGAACAGGGCAAAUAAGCUCAUCUGAAACCUCAGCUGCCCAGCCUGUGAAAUAAGGCCGGCCAUCCAUUCUCACAGAGGAGCCAACUGGAGCCAGAAGAACCUUAAGGGAAAGGGCAGAGGGAGAUUCUCCCUCUUCCCCCGACAGUUUUGGCGUAGUCGCCAGGAGCCACACUGGCUGGCAAGUUGCCUUCUCUGGCUGGAAGACCUGCCUUCUCCCUGGACUACUGCAGAUGGUGAGAUACGGGAACGCCUGACAAAAGCCGGCAAAAGGUAAGACUUCUUACCAUGUCAGCCUCUCGGAAUCUCUAUCUGCGGAGUCUGGCGGAAGGAAAUGGCGUAACCUUGAGAG